UGCUGCCGUCAGGGGCCUUCAGAUAAUCCCUCGCCCUGACGCUGUGCUUUCUGCUUUCAGGCGUCCUCACUGUGCUCCUCUGUCGCGGAAGCGCCCCGCUUGUGCCGAGCCCGCUCGCCCUGCGAAGGUUCCGAGGCUUUCCUCCUCUUCUCCUGCCCCUGCCCCUCUUCUCCCGCUGCUGGAGCUGGACGCUGCCCGCCUGUUCCCUGGACCUAGGCCGGACUGGGUGGUGCAGAUGGAGGACUACCUGCAGGAGCGCAAGAAGGACUGGAAGGACAGGACAAGGUCAAGUGAGCCACAGGGGCCAUUCACUCCCCAAAGACACAAGUACUCCUUUUAUUUUAAGAACUGAUCCGCUUUCUGUUUGUGUUUCAGUCACAGAAGAGGAUCUGGAGUCUUGCUGUUAAGGGUGACGCAUCACUUGUUAACCAGCAAAUGCAAACAACAAAACAAAAAAACAUUAUUAUUAUGCUGUAAAUAGUUUGGUGUGAACACUUUUUAAAUAGGUUUGUGUGGUGUAAUUUUUAUGUUGUAAAUAGUUUGCUUUGUGUUUUAAUGUGAACAUUUUAAAUAGGUUUGUGUGGUGUAAUUUUUAUGUUGUAAAUAGUUUGCUGUGUGUUUUAGUGUGAACAUUUUUAGAUUUCAUUUUAAGCUCCUUAGCUAGGCUCUUGCACCUUCUCCAUGGAUAAAGGAAAAACAAACAGUGGGAAAACGUGAAAAGGGAUGAGGAAAAUGUUGGAGUGAUAAAAACAAUAUACAGUACAGUGAGAUGGGCCUUUACAGUGCAGACUGUGGAGAGGAGGAGUGGAGGAAGGAGGCUUAAAUCCAUAUUGUCAUACAGAAUACAGGGACAGAAAUGGGAGACAUGUCAAAGCAAAGAAGCCAAUGUGAAAAGAACACAAGAUCAUACAAGUUCUCCCCGAGGUCCGGGCUGGGUCUGGAGGGCUGCUGAGGUCCUGAGGUGGGACUGUCGCGUGUCCAGCUCAAGAGACAAAGCACCAUGGCCUGUGUUCUCUCCAUGCAUCUCCACGAUGACCCGUGUGCUGUCCACCAACCUGCAGGAAACACCUCUGAUGUCCCCUGUAUCCCCGAGUAACAGCCCCUCAAAGUGACAAAAAAAGAAUAUACAGUACAGUGAGAUGGAACUUUAGACUGCAGGCUGUGGAGAGGAGGAGGCUUCUAUCCAUGUUAUACAAAAUACAGAGUCUGCCUGAGGUCCAGGCUCAGGUCGUGUGUCCAGCUCAAGAGACAAAGCACCAUGGCCUAUGUGCUCUAUAUUCUGCAUGAGGACCUGUGUGCUGUCCACCAGCCUGCAGGAAACACCUCUGAUGUCCCCUGUAUUCUAGAGCAACAGUCUCCGAAGCAACACUGAGCCAAAACAACAUGUGUGGCAACUGAAUGACAGCACACAUUUUUCCUGUCGUUUCGGACUUAAAUACAGGACUAUAUGACAAAGAUAUUGGACAAAAUGCUUCCAACAUCAGGCAAGUGUGAUCCUGCAGAAAGAGAGGAGGGAGGGAAAACACUGAAGGAAACAAAAGCAAAGAAUAUAUAGCAGAGUGAGAUGGAACUUUACAGUGGGGGCUGUGGAGAGGAGGAGUGGAGGAAGGAGGCUUAUAUCCAUGUUGUCGUACAAAAUACAGGUACACUUGUGAGUUCUAUGGAUUGUAUUUGUCCCUCCUCCAAGUAUAGUGAAUAUUUGUGUUUUUUACACAAGGUCCAGGCUGGGUCAGGAAGGAGGCUGGUGUCCUGAGGAGGGACUGCCGUGUGACUAACUCACAACAGUGAGAUAGUACUGUGAAGAGGAGGAGGGGAGGAAGGAGGCUUAUAUCCACGUAUCUUAUAUCCAGGGACAGAAAUGGAAGGCCACUGCCAAACGUGUCAGUGAUAUUCAGGCUUUCUCGGUGCCUCUGUCUCUGUAUGCGAUUCAGCUCUGAUGAUCUCAUAGUGACCCUGCACCCCAUUUCGGCCUUUAUUGCAAAACUGGCUGACGCCUGUAUCUAAGUGGAUGUGGACACUUUUCAGCCUCUUUCCCACACUUCUGCUGAGCAACAGCGUUCACACAGGUUGUGCCCUGUCCGAGCGGCGCAUGGCAUCCUUUACCAACACCGUAAUGCUACACAACACAGUGAACACAAGGCUCUGGGAAACCUGAACAUUUUCCUUAAACACCAUAAUAUUCAGGAGUAGGACCAAGCCUCAACCUCCCCCUGCUCCUCUCCAGCAAACCAAGCUCAGCUCAACCGCACCUUCAGUUACCCAAAAGCCCUAUUUAUACAGGCCUAUCCCAACAACACCGUCUGUCUCUGCUCUCUCGACCCUCUCCCUCCCACCCCGUACCUCUCUCUCUCUAGUCUCUAGCCUCUAGUCUCCUCCCAGCCAUCACAUCUCGCCAUCGUCAAGAAAUAUCUUUACCGUAUUCCAUUGUUGUGACGUGGUCCUUGCUAGUGAAAUACAACUGUGUGUCUGAAUAUGAAGACUUUCUGUCCGAUAUUAAGUCACGUGUCAACUGCCCCAGCCUAAACUUGACCUCAGCAAGCUGAUAAGAACAUUCGCAGCCAACAGC